ensembl:lincRNA
CAAAAUGGAAGAAACCAUCACUCCUCCUUUUCCUGGAGGUGGUACACAGGUAUGAAGAAAGCAACUUUCUUAGGGUCUGAACCCCAGUCCAGGAGGAGCUCCUCUGGCGACAUCACAUUGCUGAACUCAGAAUUGUACUGCAAGAACAUCUGAAGAUGAUUCAGCAUCAGCAUGAGUCUCAAGAACAUCAUCAUGGAAUGUUUUCUUUAAGCUGACCAGUUUGCUGGAAUAAUCUACUUAAAGUAAGCCAGAAGAUCCUUCUGUUGUUUGCAGUUAAAGGCUCUGACUUACAGAAAACCUGAGUGGGCCGCAAGCUGAAGGAUGAUGGUGUUAAGGGAAGAACAUGCAACAGAAUGAAGAGGAAUAGCAUGAUCCUUCAAACAUACCUGUUAAUGGAAAUUCUUUGAAUAAAUGAACUUGAAAUC